CCUACGGGAGGCAGCAGUGGGGAAUUUUGGACAAUGGGCGCAAGCCUGAUCCAGCAAUGCCGCGUGAGUGAAGAAGGCCUUCGGGUUGUAAAGCUCUUUUGUCAGGGAAGAAACGGUGGUUCCUAAUACGGACUACUAAUGACGGUACCUGAAGAAUAAGCACCGGCUAACUACGUGCCAGCAGCCGCGGUAAUACGUAGGGUGCAAGCGUUAAUCGGAAUUACUGGGCGUAAAGCGUGCGCAGGCGGUUAUAUAAGUCAGAUGUGAAAUCCCCGGGCUCAACCUGGGAACUGCAUUUGAGACUGUAUGGCUAGAGUGUGUCAGAGGGGGGUAGAAUUCCACGUGUAGCAGUGAAAUGCGUAGAUAUGUGGAGGAAUACCGAUGGCGAAGGCAGCCCCCUGGGAUAACACUGACGCUCAUGCACGAAAGCGUAGGGGAGCAAACAGGAUUAGAUACCCUGGUAGUCCACGCCCUAAACGAUGUCUACUAGUUGUCGGGACUUAAUUGUCUUGGUAACGCAGCUAACGCGUGAAGUAGACCGCCUGGGGAGUACGGUCGCAAGNUUAAAACGUUAAUGAAUUGACCGG
rnacentral:rRNA from 1 species